rnacentral:rRNA from 1 species
UACGUAGGGUCCGAGCGUUGUCCGGAAUUAUUGGGGCGUAAAGAGCUCGUAGGCGGUUUGUCGCGUCUGCUGUGAAAUCCCGAGGCUCAACCUCGGGUCUGCAGUCGAUACGAGCAAACUAGAGUGUUGCAGGGGAGACUGGAAUUCCUGGUGUAGCGGUGAAAUGCGCAGAUAUCAGGAGGAACACCGGUGGCGAAGGCGGGUCUCUGGGCAACAACUGACGCUGAGGAGCGAAAGCGUGGGGAGCGAACAGG